AAAGGUUUAAAGACUGAUAUCCUUGACAUGCUUGCAGGCAGUAUGUCGAAGAUUACUGCUUAUCCUGAGAGGGACCACUACGAGAGUGUACCCAAAGCACUGGUGGAAAAGCAUCUCUGUCUGCCAGAGCCAGGGUCUGAAAAGGGAUGGUAUUCAUGGUUUCACAGCCUGAAAUUUAAGCUUGGAAACUACCGACAAAAGUUGAGUGCAGCAGGAUGCCCUGAAGUGGUCAUAAACAAACGAAAAGGAAGAGGCUCGAAGGGAAAAUGUGUCAAGAAGUCCAAGAAGGGUGAGGUGAAUUACUGUCCUGAUCCACCUGAAGGACAAUGUCCUGAAAACAUGGAGGAGAAACGCCAGAUAAUGGAGGCUGAAAUGCAAAAAUGAGAUCCUGAUCACCAGCUGUUGGAGAAUCUGAUGGUUGCCAUGUUUUCUCAGCGCAGAAUAGAGAUCAUUGGAGAUCAGCCACUCAUCACUGAAGUAAUUUCCCGAUGGCCAGCUCUGUUCCACGAGAGACAGAUUAUGUCAGAAUUCAAGAGGACUGUCACCGUAGACCUCCUGGAAUCUUUUCUUUGAGGACUUGAUGGUCUGGUCCCAAGACUGCUGGAAGUGUAUAACGCAGCAACCAAGAACCUAGAAAGAAACAGUCACUAAAAGACAUUUUGGACUGCCUUGUGAGAGAUGACACAAAUAAGAGAAGAAGGGCUGCUGCUCUGCUUGGUCUGCCAUACUACAUAUCAGGCGAAGAUCCAUCAAAUGUCAUCAGGAUGUGUGAU